UACGUAGGGUGCGAGCGUUAAUCGGAAUUACUGGGCGUAAAGCGUGCGCAGGCGGUUGGUUAAGUCUGAUGUGAAAGCCCCGGGCUCAACCUGGGAAUGGCAUUGGAAACUGGCUGGCUAGAGUGCGGCAGAGGGGGGUGGAAUUCCGCGUGUAGCAGUGAAAUGCGUAGAGAUGCGGAGGAACACCGAUGGCGAAGGCAGCCCCCUGGGCUGACACUGACGCUCAGGCACGAAAGCGUGGGGAGCAAACAGG
rnacentral:rRNA from 1 species